UACGAGGGGUGCAAGCGUUAAUCGGAAUUACUGGGCGUAAAGGGUGCGUAGGCGGUUCGUUAAGUCUGUUGUGAAAUCCCCGGGCUCAACCUGGGAAUGGCAAUGGAUACUGGCGGGCUAGAGUGUGUCAGAGGAUGGUGGAAUUCCCGGUGUAGCGGUGAAAUGCGUAGAGAUCGGGAGGAACAUCAGUGGCGAAGGCGGCCAUCUGGGACAACACUGACGCUGAAGCACGAAAGCGUGGGGAGCAAACAGG
rnacentral:rRNA from 1 species